rnacentral:rRNA from 1 species
AACCGUGUACGUACAAGCAGUGGGAGCCCCACCACCAAAGCAUUUGCUGUACCGCGUUGACGGAGCGAAGCGACGUCAAACCGAUAAAACAGCAGUGUAAAGUGAGCCGCAGGGCGCUUUGCGCGACAGCGCAAAGGCAGGCGGUUUCGCGUAGCGAAAGCGAAUGCUUUGGGGUGGGGUGACUGCGUACCUUUUGUAUAAUGGGUCAGCGACUUAUAUUCUGUAGCAAGGUUAACCGAAUAGGGGAGCCGGAGGGAAACCGAGUCUUAAUUGGGCGUUAAGUUGCAGGGUAUAGACCCGAAACCCGGUGAUCUAGCCAUGGGCAGGUUGAAGGUUGGGUAACACUAACUGGAGGACCGAACCGACUAAUGUUGAAAAAUUAGCGGAUGACCUGUGGCUGGGGGUGAAAGGCCAAUCAAACCGGGAGAUAGCUGGUUCUCCCCGAAAGCUAUUUAGGUAGCGCCUCGUGAAUUCAUCUCCGGGGGUAGAGCACUGUUUCGGCUAGGGGGCCAUCCCGGCUUACCAACCCGAUGCAAACUGCGAAUACCGGAGAAUGUUAUCACGGGAGACACACGGCGGGUGCUAACGUCCGUCGUGAAGAGGGAAACAACCCAGACCGCCAGCUAAGGUCCCAAAGUCAUGGUUAAGUGGGAAACGAUGUGGGAAGGCCCAGACAGCCAGGAUGUUGGCUUAGAAGCAGCCAUCAUUUAAAGAAAGCGUAAUAGCUCACUGGUCGAGUCGGCCUGCGCGGAAGAUGUAACGGGGCUAAACCAUGCACCGAAGCUGCGGCAGCGACACUGUGUGUUGUUGGGUAGGGGAGCGUUCUGUAAGCCUGUGAAGGUGUGUCGUGAGGCAUGCUGGAGGUAUCAGAAGUGCGAAUGCUGACAUAAGUAACGAUAAAGCGGGUGAAAAGCCCGCUCGCCGGAAGACCAAGGGUUCCUGUCCAACGUUAAUCGGGGCAGGGUGAGUCGACCCCUAAGGCGAGGCCGAAAGGCGUAGUCGAUGGGAAACGGGUUAAUAUUCCCGUACUUGGUGUUACUGCGAAGGGGGGACGGAGAAGGCUAUGUUGGCCGGGCGACGGUUGUCCCGGUUUAAGCGUGUAGGUGUGUGUUCCAGGUAAAUCCGGUUCACUUUAACACUGAGGCGUGACGACGAGGCACUACGGUGCUGAAGCAACAAAUGCCCUGCUUCCAGGAAAAGCCUCUAAGCAUCAGGUAACAUCAAAUCGUACCCCAAACCGACACAGGUGGUCAGGUAGAGAAUACCAAGGCGCUUGAGAGAACUCGGGUGAAGGAACUAGGCAAAAUGGUGCCGUAACUUCGGGAGAAGGCACGCUGACACGUAGGUGAAGUGAUUUACUCAUGGAGCUGAAGUCAGUCGAAGAUACCAGCUGGCUGCAACUGUUUAUUAAAAACACAGCACUGUGCAAACACGAAAGUGGACGUAUACGGUGUGACGCCUGCCCGGUGCCGGAAGGUUAAUUGAUGGGGUCAGCGCAAGCGAAGCUCCUGAUCGAAGCCCCGGUAAACGGCGGCCGUAACUAUAACGGUCCUAAGGUAGCGAAAUUCCUUGUCGGGUAAGUUCCGACCUGCACGAAUGGCGUAAUGAUGGCCAGGCUGUCUCCACCCGAGACUCAGUGAAAUUGAACUCGCUGUGAAGAUGCAGUGUACCCGCGGCAAGACGGAAAGACCCCGUGAACCUUUACUAUAGCUUGACACUGAACAUUGAGCCUUGAUGUGUAGGAUAGGUGGGAGGCUUUGAAGUGUGGACGCCAGUCUGCAUGGAGCCGACCUUGAAAUACCACCCUUUAAUGUUUGAUGUUCUAACGUGGACCCGUUACCCGGGUUGCGGACAGUGUCUGGUGGGUAGUUUGACUGGGGCGGUCUCCUCCUAAAGAGUAACGGAGGAGCACGAAGGUUGGCUAAUCCUGGUCGGACAUCAGGAGGUUAGUGCAAUGGCAUAAGCCAGCUUGACUGCGAGCGUGACGGCGCGAGCAGGUGCGAAAGCAGGUCAUAGUGAUCCGGUGGUUCUGAAUGGAAGGGCCAUCGCUCAACGGAUAAAAGGUACUCCGGGGAUAACAGGCUGAUACCGCCCAAGAGUUCAUAUCGACGGCGGUGUUUGGCACCUCGAUGUCGGCUCAUCACAUCCUGGGGCUGAAGUAGGUCCCAAGGGUAUGGCUGUUCGCCAUUUAAAGUGGUACGCGAGCUGGGUUUAGAACGUCGUGAGACAGUUCGGUCCCUAUCUGCCGUGGGCGCUGGAGAACUGAGGGGGGCUGCUCCUAGUACGAGAGGACCGGAGUGGACGCAUCACUGGUGUUCGGGUUGUCAUGCCAAUGGCACUGCCCGGUAGCUAAAUGCGGAAGAGAUAAGUGCUGAAAGCAUCUAAGCACGAAACUUGCCCCGAG